GACGAACCUGACGAACGUUAUUCGGAAUCACUGGGCUUAAAGGGUGCGUAGGCUGUGCAGAAAGUUGGGUGUGAAAUCCCUCGGCUUAACCGAGGAACUGCGCCCAAAACUACUGUGCUCGAGUGAGAUAGAGGUGAGCGGAACUUAGGGUGGAGCGGUGAAAUGCGUUGAUAUCCUAAGGAACACCGGUGGCGAAAGCGGCUCACUGGGUCUCAACUGACGCUGAGGCACGAAAGCUAGGGGAGCGAACGGG
rnacentral:rRNA from 1 species